rnacentral:misc_RNA from 1 species
GAUGAAGAACGUAGCGAACUGCGAUAAGUAAUGUGAAUUGCAGAAUUCAGUGAAUCAUCGAGUCUUUGAACGCACAUUGCGCCCCUCGGUAUUCCGAGGGGCAUGCCUGUUCGAGCGUCAUUAUAACCCUUCAAGCUCAGCUUGGUGUUGGGGCCUGCUGUAACUGGUAGCCCUUAAAAUCAGUGGCGGUGCUAUUAGGCUCUAAGCGUAGUAAUUCUUCUCGCUAUAGUGUGUAGUGAGCGCUUGCCAGAACCCCAAACUUUUAUAUGAUUGACCUCGGAUCAGGUAGGGAUACCCGCUGAACUUAAGCAUAUCAAUAAGCGGAGGA